rnacentral:misc_RNA from 1 species
GGCAUCUUUGAGUGCAUUCCUUUUGGCAUCGAAACGUUUACAAUCAACGUGAUUCAACUUGUUGACGGCUGCCGCUUGCAUCCAGAAAUCCAAUGCGAUGACCUCAUCAUUGGACAGCAGUCUUCUGCUGUUCUCUUCGGAUGAUGAGGUCCUGGAGCAGGUCAAGGUCGACAUCGGAUUUCAGAAUCUGUCACAAGACUGGGACAGCUACAUGGAUCCUGUAGAGCACCCACUGAAGGAGCACCAGCUGUCGGAAUUGGAGCCGGCGCCGGCCGAGGUGAAGGAGGAGCCCACGCCGCCGGCGCAGAAGCAGGUGUCGGUGCAGCCGGUGGCCAACUCUGUGCCGGUGUUGGACGGCUGGCCGGGCGUGCAUCAGUUCCAGGUGACGGUGCGCCGGCGGCCCGAGCAGGCCGGCCGCCAGCUGCCCUACGUCUACAGCGCCGACGGCGCGAAGCUGUACACCGACAUGAUGGUGGCCGUGCCGUUCAGCUUCACCUACAGCGGUGUGGCCGACCCGAGCGCGCUGCGCAUCCGCGCGCUGCCCAUCUACCGCGAGUCCCACCACAUCCAGACGCCGGUACGCCGGUGCGCCAUCCACCGCGAGCCGCAGGAUCCGUCCAACGACACCGGACACAUGAUGCACGUGGUGCGGGCCGAUCACCACCACGCCAGCUACCACGUGGAGCAGGAGCGGUGCAGCGUCACCGUGCCGCUGGAGGCGCCCGAGCCCGGCACCGACGACUACCAGGUGCUCUUCAAGUUCGCCUGUAUGAACACCUGCGUGGGCGGCAUCAACCGUCGGCGGCUGAUGCUGGUGCUGACGCUGGAGGAGCGCGCCUCGGGCCGCACACUCGGCAGACAGGCCAUCGAGGUGAAGGUGUGCCGCUGCCCCCACCGCGACUGGCGCGCCGACGAGAAGCGCAAGGGCUCCGAGCAGGCGCAGCCCAAGGCGAGCAAACGGCCGCGCCGCGAGCCGUCCCCGCCGCGACCCUCCAACGGCCAGCAGCAGCUCUACGUGGUGGCGGACGACCCGGCGAUGUACCGAUACCUGGUGGAGGCGCGCGAGUCACUGCUGCGCUACCGGCGCUCGGUGCUGGCCGAGCAGGCGCCGCCGGCACCGCUCAGCCGCCAGGACACGGCGCCAGUCAGGCCCGAAUACCGCUAGACGGCCGACGGCUGGGUGCCGAUGACGGCGACGGAUGGGUGUUGAUGACGGCCACGGCCACGGGUGGGUCAGGGUGCCGAUGACGGCGACGGGCCGCGGACUAGGAGCGAGGAUUGGAGAGGCCAUGAUUACUCCCCCGCACAGAGGUGCUUUGAGUUUUGUUUCUGGAGCGAAAGGUUCAUGGAUGCUGCCACGUAGCACUAAGCUAAUUUAAGUACCGAGCGAAGCAGCUCGGUAACGUAUAGUUGAAAUCAACGAGCUGCACUUACUCGUAGUGGCUGUAUUUUCGAAUGUUUGUUGAUCUUAGUUGCUUGUAAGUCUUUCUUAUGAUGCAUGCUAUGUAAAGAGUGUAAACGCAGUCUGCAGUACUGGGCCGUCGAACUGUACAUACUUUAUCCUUUGCGCGUAGGCAUUGAUUGCUGGUCAGUUUUCCACAUGCAUUGUGUCAAUGCACGCUCGUUACAGAUUUAGAUUCAGCAUUGUGUGGCGGGAAGUGGGGCCAGGUUAGACGCAAACGUUGAGAAUCAGUCGUGGUGCACGUCUUGCGUUUGUAAAGAAACUGUUGAAGCUCGAGGUGAAUGCUGAGGCCUGUGAAUAAACUUUACCUUCUGA